AUUGAACGCUGGCGGCAUGCUUUACACAUGCAAGUCGAACGGUAACAGGCCGCAAGGUGCUGACGAGUGGCGAACGGGUGAGUAAUGCAUCGGAACGUGCCUAGUCGUGGGGGAUAACGCAGCGAAAGCUGCGCUAAUACCGCGUACGAUCUCUGGAUGAAAGCGGGGGACCGAAAGGCCGAGCGCGAUUGGAGCGGCCGAUGUCAGAUUAGGUAGUUGGUGGGGUAAAGGCCCACCAAGCCAACGAUCUGUAGCUGGUCUGAGAGGACGACCAGCCACACUGGGACUGAGACACGGCCCAGACUCCUACGGGAGGCAGCAGUGGGGAAUUUUGGACAAUGGGCGCAAGCCUGAUCCAGCAAUGCCGCGUGCAGGAAGAAGGCCUUCGGGUUGUAAACUGCUUUUGUACGGAACGAAACGGUCCUGGUUAAUACCUGGGGCUAAUGACGGUACCGUAAGAAUAAGCACCGGCUAACUACGUGCCAGCCGCCGCGGUAACAC
rnacentral:rRNA from 1 species